CCCGGGCCGGGGGGCGCCGGGCGGGGGAGCGCCGCGCCCUGCCCUGCCCUCCGCCCCGCCUCAGCCCCCCGGCGCAGCCCCCAGCCCCGGUCAGCAGCAGCAAAGGCAUUAACUCCCCAGGGAACACCGCCGUGGGCCGGCAGCUGUUGCAGGGCCAAGCAGCUGCUGCGAGCCCUGAGGAGAGCUGUGGAGCCGGGACGGGGCCCCAGCCCCCGGCAGCGAGGAGCCAGCAAGCAGCUUCGCCAUGGCGGCUCCGGCCAGGCUGACAUCGCCCUCUCCCGCACUGAGCAGGGCGAGCAGGGACGGACCUCCACAUCCUGGGAUUCCUGCCAGCAGGAAGAGAACAACCCAACCGCGCCAGUGCUUCCUCCGGCUGUGAGCAAGGGGCCUUCCAGCUGGGCCUUUCUCCAUCACGGGAGCGAGGGACAGAUUUGGUCACCCCACCAGUGUUCUCCCACCCCAACAGUCACCCACUACAUUGGAGGAGACAUGGCUUUGCUUUAGCGUUGGCUAUAAAUCAGCUUUUGAGCUUCAGCUGCAGGCACGGGUGCCUCCUCUGAAAGCCAGGAGCCGCUUCCCGCCCGCUGUACCAGGCCCUCCCGGCAGGUCUCAGCGUACAGGUGAUGCUCAUCACGCAUUUACCCCCAGCAAAAGCACCCACGGUCUUACAAAAGCAGAUCUUUAUUUACAUUUUUCCAUUCUUUACAUUUGGUGGUUUAAAACGCAGGACAAAAAUACUCCCCAGAAGCUGUGAUAAACAUGUAAAACUGCUAGUUUACAUUUUAAAACCCAGUAAUAAAUUGCGCAGAAGUCUUAGGUUGUACAGAGCCGCCACAAAUAUUGUUGUAUAAAACCCCAAAAAUCUCUAAAGAGAACCACAGGAAUAAAGAAUUACAGCCACGAGUAUUGGUACAAGAAAGGGCACAAGUUUUGAGGGUUUUACCCCAACAGUCUCUCAUGGGGAAGAGGGAUGGGACGUUCCUGUUGCAGAGUUUGGGAAUACUUAAAAAUACAGAAUAAAAACGAAGCAGACCCCAGAACACCCUUUAUCGCCUCUCUUGUGCUGGCUCAACAGGAAAACUUCCUAGCAGAAAGUAUUUACUUUUACAAAACUACUGAAAGCUCAGUGGAAAGCUAAAAAAGAAUCUCUGUCCAACAAAAAGACGACCCUUUGCGUCCCUCAUCUCCCCGUUCCCCAUCCUCUGCAGGCAGUGGGAUGACAGGUGCCAAAGCGGAGUUUAGUAGGACACAAACAACAAUGAAAAAGCCAAAAAUAUGGAGGCGGCACAUGUGCAGAGCUGGACAAGAACAAAACCAUGAAGGACAAAAAAUGAAGCAGCAGGGAAAAAAAAAAAAGGACACGAUAUUUUUGGUAUUUUCCAUUGAAUGCCGAGUUUGGAAACAAUUAGCUCACAAGCUUCACGCGCACCCCACCACUUCCCCGCCCCAUUUCAAACAAAACCAAAAAACAAUUGUGUACAAACUUGGGCCAGGAAUUUGAAUUCUUUCCUGUGCGCUGAAGUUUUUUACCCAGAGCUGGGUUUGGAAAAAAAGGGGCUUUUUUCCCCUCUUUUUUCCAGAGCUCAGAGAGAGAGGCAGGACCCAGGGCCUGCAGGAAGUCCCCAGGACAUAAAAUGGUUGAAGCCAGAGAGGCUGCAGAGAAGAGAGACAGCAGCGAGGCAGAGGACAGAGGGACCGUCCACUCGCCCGCUCCCAAGGGGACCACGCUCACACCCAGACAUUGGUUUUACCCCGUCGCGCUCAUCCAAAGUACUCGUAUACCCCGAGGCCACAACCGCGGGCAGCUUUAAGAAGAGCCAGCCUAACUCCUCCACCCUGCAGUCCUGGGCUGUUUCAGAUGGGUCCGUGAAAGACAAACUCUUUGUGUCAGGCUUCGAUUCCCUGCGGCGGCACUGGGGGACAGGCAAGGCUGGGCAGGAAGGCUGAAAACCACAGCCCUUUGCCAGUUAUUUCUGUCCGCUUGCACAACAGCGAGGUUGCUCAGAGACACGCGGAGGGCGAUAACCUGCUGCACCCUGGCCAGAGCCACCUCGCAGCUCAGAGAGGCCUCUCCCCGCGGGAGCUGUGCGUGCCCAGCCCUAGCAUCCGAACGAAUGAGGACCACCAUGAGGUCUAGCUCUGACGCCUUCCUGCUCCGUCCACAGCAGCCAGUGGAAAAGGACACUCCUCACCAGCAAAUAAAUCUUCUACCUACAUUUUCUCAGAUGAGCUAUAGGAAGGUAAGCCCAAACAUAAACUGGUCUAAGUUACUUAAAUAUUUCUCCAACAUCCUUUCAAAGAUUCUAUGGCGAGCUCUGCAGAUUCAGUUGUACGCUGCUGUCCUCAUUACAUGCUUCAUCUCAAGCAAUACUAAUGUUGAAACUAUGGCAGAACUGGUAUCCACUUCAGUGGCAAAGACCUGGACAAAUACUGUCUCAGCCAACCAGCUCUUUUUUGGGACGUAGUGUAUGACAUUCUUUUCCACCAGACAAAGCAUCUAGUGGUUUCUGAAAACCUCUCUUCCUUAAAUGUUGCAAAGACGACCCCACGUACAGCAAGAGGUGCUAGUAGUUCAUAGCAAAUAUAAUUUGGGAGAGCAAGCUCAGGGGCACGGGAGCACUGCAGAGCUGCAGGGCACAACACAGCUGUGUGAGGUACAGCUGGCCUCUCCUCUCCACAGCCUCCUCCAUGAACGGUGCAUUCCCAACUGUAAAGGUUAAACAAGGAUGACAGACCCUGGCUGGGGGUCUAGAAGGGUAUCCCAGUGGCUCUGGCCACAGUAACUAGUCAGCGUUCAAGUUUUCCAGCCAAGGAACACGGGCUGGACAUGUCACCAGCAGCUCAGCUUCAGGGAUGGAGACCAAGGGACUGGGAAUCCCGGCGCGGGCUGCCUCUCCCCGACCCCGGCAGGGCCAGGAGCCUGAAGCCCAACAAAGCACGUCCCAAAGCACUGACAGCUCACAGGCAUUUUUCCAGAGGUGCGGAAGGGAGUUGCCUCCUGAAAGGAGGAACAUGUACUGCCAACAGCAAGGAAGACCACAAGAGCUAUGGGCUGAGCCAGGCAAAACAGGUUCAACUAACUGGGAGGAACAGGAAGAGCUCUGGGGAAGAGACCUACCAUUACGAACAAACAAGCCCCUACCUUUGACUCCGGGUGUAUCAAGAAUGCUUUUCAUGGCAGGCACAGACCACCAGGCAAAGGGGAGUCUUAAAUGAUAAAAGCUGGGCAGCACAAGUUGAGCAGAGGGUGAAGAAGGAUCCUUGUCUGAGGCACAGAUACCACCUCAGGCUACUGGCAAUGCCAGCAUUUAGGCAACACCUACAUGCUUCAGACAUGGUAUCACCAAACUGUGGGUGUGGGGAGGAGCCUUCUUCCAUUUUCAAGUUUAUUCCAAAUGGCUCUUUAGGAGAGGGCAUGGGCUGGGGGUCUCCAGCCCUUCCAGCCAGACCGUGGCUGUUCCACCUCCACGCUCCUGAAGGGAGAGCCCACUCUGCCCUUCCUCCCCAGCAGCCCAGCUCUCCCGUCAGACAGCAGAGAGCUCUGCCCAAGGCCCGUGGGCCACUCGGACAAACCACAGGGUUUGUCAAAUUUCAGGACACAGGGCCAGGGAAGCAGCAGUGCAGGGGCUGCUCUCUCUCCAGAGCAGAGCCCACAUGGUGCCAAACUCCCUCUAACCAUCUGGGACUACAAGCUGCAGCCAGGCUGCACCAUGCUUGUCUUCCCCGAGCCGCCUUGGCAGAAGUCACCAUCCUUCCUGGGGAAAGCAAAAAACUUGCCUUGUUUUGUAAGAAAUCAGCAAGGUGCAUUCCUGAUUUGGCAUGAACAGGCACAUGGAUAAGCAUCAGAAAUGGAUGAAAAAGCACAGCAUUUCUCUCAGAAUAAUUUAUUAAAUACAGCAUUAAAAUUUGUAUUUAUGAAUUCAAUCAUUAAAAACAGAACUUCAUCUCAUAUAUAUAUAUAUAUAUUCAGGGACAAUGACAAUCAUUCUAUCAACAUUGGUGCAUGUUGUGCCAGCACUGCUCAGAACAGCACCUUCUCUACACUAGCCUUAAAGCAGUUCAACACUUAAAAAAAAAAAUAAUAAAAA